CACCUUAUUGGCGGAAAAUCGCAUUAAAUUUAGAAUUUAAACACCCCUUA
rnacentral:tRNA from 1 species